rnacentral:rRNA from 1 species
GACGAACGCUGGCGGCGUGCUUAACACAUGCAAGUCGAACGGAAAGGCCCUGCUUUUGUGGGGUGCUCGAGUGGCGAACGGGUGAGUAACACGUGAGUAACCUGCCCUUGGCUUUGGGAUAACUUCAGGAAACUGGGGCUAAUACCGGAUAGGAGCUCCUGCUGCAUGGUGGGGGUUGGAAAGUUUCGGCGGUUGGGGAUGGACUCGCGGCUUAUCAGCUUGUUGGUGGGGUAGUGGCUUACCAAGGCUUUGACGGGUAGCCGGCCUGAGAGGGUGACCGGCAAAAUGGGGACUGAGAUACGGCCCAGACUCCUACGGGAGGCAGAAGUGGGGAAUAUUGCAAAAUGGGCGGAAGCCUGAUGCAGAAACGCCGCGGGCGGGAUGACGGCCUUCGGGUUGUAAACCGCUUUCGCCUGUGACGAAGCGUGAGUGACGGUAAUGGGUAAAGAAGAACCGGCUAACUACGUG